ACGCUGGCGGCGUGCCUAAUACAUGCAAGUAGACGCUGAAGGAGGAGCUUGCUUCUCUGGAUGAGUUGCGAACGGGUGAGUAACGCGUAGGUAACCUGCCUGGUAGCGGGGGAUAACUAUUGGAAACGAUAGCUAAUACCGCAUAAGAGUAGAUGUUGCAUGACAUUUGCUUAAAAGGUGCAAUUGCAUCACUACCAGAUGGACCUGCGUUGUAUUAGCUAGUUGGUGAGGUAACGGCUCACCAAGGCGACGAUACAUAGCCGACCUGAGAGGGUGAUCGGCCACACUGGGACUGAGACACGGCCCAGACUCCUACGGGAGGCAGCAGUAGGGAAUCUUCGGCAAUGGACGGAAGUCUGACCGAGCAACGCCGCGUGAGUGAAGAAGGUUUUCGGAUCGUAAAGCUCUGUUGUAAGAGAAGAACGAGUGUGAGAGUGGAAAGUUCACACUGUGACGGUUCUUCCA
rnacentral:rRNA from 1 species